rnacentral:rRNA from 1 species
GACGAACGCUGGCGGCGUGCUUAACACAUGCAAGUCGAACGGAAAGGCCCUGCUUUUGUGGGGUGCUCGAGUGGCGAACGGGUGAGUAACACGUGAGUAACCUGCCCCUGACUUUGGGAUAACUUCAGGAAACUGGGGCUAAUACCGGAUAGGAGCUCCUGCUGCAUGGUGGGGGUUGGAAAGUUUCGGCGGUUGGGGAUGGACUCGCGGCUUAUCAGCUUGUUGGUGGGGUAGUGGCUUACCAAGGCUUUGACGGGUAGCCGGCCUGGGAGGGUGACCGGCCACAUUGGGACUGAGAUACGGCCCAGACUCCUACGGGAGGCAGCAGUGGGGAAUAUUGCACAAUGGGCGGAAGCCUGAUGCAGCAACGCCGCGUGCGGGAUGACGGCCUUCGGGUUGUAAACCGCUUUCGCCUGUGACGAAGCGUGAGUGACGGUAAUGGGUAAAGAAGCACCGGCUAACUACGUG